rnacentral:miRNA from 1 species
AGCUCCCUGAAUCCCUGUCCCAG